UACGUAGGCAGCAAGCGUUGUUCGGAAUUACUGGGCGUAAAGGGUGCGUAGGCGGCUUUUUAAGUUUGGUGUGAAAUCUCCCGGCUCAACUGGGAGGGUGCGCCGAAUACUGAGAAGCUAGAGUGUGGGAGAGGAAAGUGGAAUUCCGCGUGUAGCAGUCGAAAUGCGUAGAUAUGCGGAGGAACACCGAUGGCGAAGGCAAUCCCCU
rnacentral:rRNA from 1 species